rnacentral:lncRNA from 1 species
UAAAUAUCAAUUUCAUAUUUACUUAAAAAGUUGAAAUUACAAAGAUAAAUACAUAUAUAUACACAAAUACACACAAUCAUCAUCUCUAUGGGUUCACGCACUGGACGGGUUCCGCCACCGGCUUCUCCACUGGCUCCGGUUUCUCCGGUACCGUACCACCGGAGUGAUUCCAUCUGAAGCGACGACUGGAUCUGGUUGUGGGGCGACCGAAGGGGGUGAUGAUGAUGACUAUGUAGAGACCUAGUCCAGCGCCGGUGGUGGCGAAAAACAGAGAUUCGACACCGAUUGACUUGACCUCAGACACAACGUCGUCUGACACCGAUUCGACACGAUUGACUUGACCUCAAACACACCAGACACAUACAAAUCAGAACUCAUCUUCUUCUUUUCACUUUGAGACGAUUGGAUCUUCUCUUCUCUCUCUCUCCAAAGGAGGAUUCAAUUUUUAGAAGCAAAAGCACUUCGG